AUUUAAAUUGCUGGGUCAAAUGGUAACUAUGUCUAAUUGUUUGAGAAACUGCCAGACUAUUUUCCAAAGUGGCUGCACCAUUUUAUAUUUCCACCAGCAAU
rnacentral:pre_miRNA from 1 species